rnacentral:rRNA from 1 species
UACGUAGGGGGCAAGCGUUGUCCGGAAUCAUUGGGCGUAAAGCGCGUGUAGGCGGCUCGAUAAGUCUGCUGUGAAAGUCCAGGGCUCAACCCUGGGAUGCCGGUGGAUACUGUCGAGCUCGAGUCCGGAAGAGGCGAGUGGAAUUCCUGGUGUAGCGGUGAAAUGCGCAGAUAUCAGGAGGAACACCAGUGGCGAAGGCGGCUCGCUGGGCCGAUACUGACGCUGAGACGCGAAAGCGUGGGGAGCAAACAGG